UUGAUUACGUCCCUGCCCUUUGUACACACCGCCCGUCGCUGCCCGGGACCGAGACAUUUCGAGAAACUUGGGGACCGUUGAUUGAGUGGUUUUCGGAUCACUCUUUUAGUGGAAACCAAUUUAAUCGCAGUGUCUUGAACCGGGCAAAAGUCGUAACAAGGUAGCUGUAGGUGAACCUGCUGCUGGAUCAUU
rnacentral:rRNA from 1 species